CGGGACUUGUUCGCCACGAAACGGACUGCUUACGUUUUAUGUGGCCAUUGAUCUUUAAUCUGAGUCUGCCUGGAGGUUUCCUAUAACAUCAGGACUCCCUGGCCUUCGAUGUGAUUGCACACCGGAGGACAUCUACCUUUGAGCAAGACUUGUCAGUCAGAGCAUCUUUGGAGCAAUAAAAAGGCAACAGAGAGCACAGGAGUGGAAGGAACCCAGAGGGCAGGAGGAGGCGUUCAGAGAGGACCCAGUGCAGGGCUGUAUGAGGGGCCAGCUGACUUUGUACAGACAUUCCCUGAGCUCUGAUCAAGGUGCCUCAAUGCCUGCUCAGAGCAGAGCGUUCCUGUUACUCUCCUGUCACUGAUGGGCUGAAGAGUGCCGCUGAACUCUUUGCCUUGACUGAACCUUUCUUGCCAGAUAGCAUUAGAACUCCCAGGAAGACAGGGAACAGACCUUGAUCUUGCUUCCAGCACAAGCUGUCGGGGAUGGCCGUGGGGCUGUCUUGCUGACACAUGGCUGCGUGGGUGGUGGCAGGGAUCCAGAAGCUUGUCAGCAGAGCCUGGGGUCAUUUGUGCAGCAGAAGCCUGAGGUUACACCUGCAUCCUGCCUAGUGAUCUCCCUCCUUCUCCUUGGCCACGGACUCCCCUGCGGGAUGUGGAAGCCCACAGGGACCUGGGGAAUCCCUUCGAGGAUGGAGUUUUGAGUUUGUAAAAAUUCUCUCACUCUUCAGACUAAAGUACAGUCAUAAACAUAUUGGGAACAGAUUAAAUGAUAACACGGGCACAUCAUCACUAACGUCUCAAACAAGGCUAACAGUAAUGAUGAAAGACAUCCUUGAUAUCUGCCAGUCCUCUCAUACUGCUCUGUCUUAGGGUCUCUAUUGCUGUAAAGAGACACGAUGACUAUAGCAACUCUUAUAUAUAAAAAGAAAGGGUGGCUUACAGUGGCUUACAGUGCAUUACCAUCAGGGUAGGAAGCAUGGCCACAUGAAGGCAGACAUGGUGCUAGAGAAGGAGCUAAAAGUCCUACAUCUGGAUCGGCAGGAAGAGAGAGUGACUCUGGGCCUGGCUUGGGCUUCUGAAACCUCAAAGUCCAUCCCCAGUGACGCACUUCCUCCAACAAUGCCAUGCCUCUUUUUUUUUUUUCUUUAAAAAAAGAUUUGUUUUAUUUAUAUGAGUACACUGUUGCUUUCUUCAGACAUACCAAAAGAGUGUAUCAGAUCUCUUUACAGAUGGUUGUGAGCCACUAUGUGGUUGCUGGGAAUUUAACUCAGGACCUCUGGAAGAACUCUUAACUGCUGAGCCGUCUCUCCAGCCCAAAGCCACGCCUCUUAAUAUUGCCCCUCUUCGUAGGACUAUGGGGGCCAUCGCCUUUCAAACCACUAUGGGCUCUGACAGUUGCUUCAUUUAUCAUGAAACCCCAUGCUAAAGUUCAGUUCCUGGGCAUAGACAUGAAGAUGCUAAAGUUUCCCACCACCCAUCCUAACAGCUUCUUAAGUUCCAUGGCCCUUUAGAUAAGAGCUCCAAUGUGGACGCUGCCAACAGCUGCACAUCUGGUUUCUGUUGAGACCAAGCCAGCUCAGCUUAGUUGAUGGGGAGAAAAACCCACCCCAGCGAGGGUUCAUUGCUGGUUUUGACGUUGCUGUGUAGUGAGAAGUCUCCAGUUUUGGUUUCUUUAAAAGGCACAGAAGAGUAUGUUUUUGUUUUAAUGCCCGGUGUGGGGAUAUGUUACUGCUUCGCAGCAGCUGACUGUGAUUUGCCUCAUGCUCUAGCAGAGGCAUGGUUUUGCCAGAUGCAAAUAGUUUCUGUGAUUGUGUGACAUUUGGGAUUCUGGGAGCUUUUCAGAAGGUAUAUAAAUGCUAAGGUCCCAGAGGUGGGGUUGGUGGUUGUUUGGGGGAGUCAGUUCUGGCUGUAUAUAAUAGUGUUGGUCAAAGAAGAAACAAGAAGAAAGAAAUUAGAUUCAGGGGUGUCUAUCUCUCUCUUCCCCCCUCUAUCCUUCUUUCUCUCAUAUAUAUCUAGUGUUAGGGGGUGAAACUGGGGCUGGGGGAGGCAAAGGGUAGGAAAAAGAAGAACCCAUAAAGUAGCAAAGACUAGCUAUAAGCAAAGAAGAAACAAGAAGAAAAAAAUUAGAUUCAGGGAUCUCCCUCCUGUGUCUGUUCUCUCCUACCUAGUGAUAAGGGGUGAGACUGGAGGGAUAAAGGCUGGGAAAAGAAAGAACACGCAAAGUAGCAAAGACCGGCUACCUUGUGGUACUAAGAGACUGCUAACUGUAGUGAUGUAGACAUGGGCUCAGCAUGUUGGCUUCUCUUGUUCUUGCACAAGCUUCAUCUUAGAGAAAGUAGCACUCAUCUGUCUUCCUGGGGUCUGGGCUUGGUUGUCCCACAGUAUUGCUUGUAUAACUCAGUAUUGAUCAAAACAAUCCUAUCUGAUUCUGUGUGUCUCCAUCAGUUUUAUGUCUCUGCAAAAAGCCAACGUACAAAGAGGACGUUUAUUCUGGUUAAUGCUUUCCUGGGUUAUUGGAAUGAGAAUGUUCCCCAUAGGUUUCAAUGUUUGAGUUCUUGGUCCCUAGUUAAUGGCACUGUUUGGGAAGGAUCAGGAGGUGUGGCCUUGCUGGAAGAAAUUUGUCACUGGGGGUGGGGUGGGGUGGGCUAUAAGGUUUGAAGGUCUCAUGACAUUUCCAGUGAGCUUUCAGCUUCCGGUUCUUACCAUCCUAUCAGCUUUUUACUGCCACAUCUCCCUGUUCUGACAGGCUCUUACCUCUCUGGAACCAGAAGCCCAAAUACUUUUCUCUCUGUCAUGGCAUUUAAUCUCAGCAAUAGAAAAGUAACC
ensembl:lincRNA 8030423F21Rik RIKEN cDNA 8030423F21 gene